rnacentral:tRNA from 1 species
UGGGGCGUGGUGUAACGGCAGCACGACGGACUCUGGUUCCGUUAGUCUAGGUUCGAAUCCUGGCGCCCCAG